rnacentral:tRNA from 1 species
UCCCCGGUGGUCCAGUGGUUAAGGCUCUGCACUCCCAAUGCAGCAGGCACGGGUUCAAUCCCUGGGCAGGGAG